ACCAUGAACAAAAGACAUAGUCCUUGCAGUAGCUCCCUUUCUGCAUGCACUCUGACUGCUCAAAGUUCAGCCAGAUGUUUACUUUCUGGGGCCCCUCACCAACUUAGAGUUAUGUGCAGUACGUGCUUGGCCAGCCAGCCCCCAUGGUGGCUCAAGGACAAAGCCUGGGACUUGUGCUGGACUGCCCCCAAAGCAAUAAAUUGUAACCACCAACCAGUAAAAGAGAACAGAGAUAGAAAUAAACCAAUCCGAGUUGCACCCGUGCAAAACUCCCCCACCCACCCUGAAGGGCUUGUGGAUUUUGCCUUUAAAAAGCUAGCCACACAAAGAAAAAGUAAGUUCCUCCUGGCCUCACGACUAUGAGUGAGUGCUUUGGAUCGAGCUUCCCUGUCCGCGGCUUGUAAACAAACAGAAAUAAACCAUGCUGUUGCAUUCUGAACCUAAGGUCUGUGGUGAAGUCUUUGGGGUCCCUAUCUGGGCAUAACAUUUGGUGCGUUGGCCGGGAACCCCAGAGACCCCACCAGGACCCUCAAGUGUCCAGAGGUUUAUUGACAUCUACCGGUUUCCACUUGGCUGACAGAUACAUCCAAGCAUCAUUUGCUGGUGACAUCCUACUGCAAAUGACUGUGAGCCCUGAACUUGCUGAAAGCUGAUAUGGACCAAUUCAGCCGAUAUGCAUACCAUCUCUUCAGCUGGUCAAUAAAACAUUCCCUUUUGUCUUUGA